ACUUGGGUUGCAUGGAUUUGGGAAGAUCCUCUUUUUGCUAUCCCAUUCUUGUGUCUUGGAGCUCUUUUACUGCAGUAAUAAAUACUGAACUAUUACUCAGGAACAUAAUAUGUGUUUAGCAAUGCCUAACUAACACAUAUCUUAUUAAAACAAUUUCAGUACGGAAAUGUACAGUUUUAAAUGCAGAAGAUCAAAUUAUAUUUGGGGUUGUACAAGGUGAAUAAGGCUACAAGUACAACUAAAUAGCACCUUUGCAUCAAAGGUGCUAUUUAUUUCUUGCAAUUUAUAUAUUGCAAGAUUUAUAUAUUGCAAUUAUGUCUAUUUCAUAAUAGUCUGUGAGGAUUCCUAACUCAUACUAUAUUAUUUUUAAAAUUCAGAAGGAACUCUAUGUAAUUCUAAUCACAACUGGAAUACAUGAUGUAAGAGCAGAUGAGGUGCAUAUCUGAGCAGAGAUAAACAUCAGAGCUUGUUGGGAUGAAUUCCUGUGCAGUGCUCCUGGUGCACCACCUAAGAGCCAUUACUUCAGAACAGUUUCCCCUCCUCCAAAUUCCCUACAACACAUACUGAAAGGAGGAGUUUCAGAAUGCUUCCAAUAUGCAUCCUCCAAAAAAAUAAACAAAUAAACAAAAAAAAUCCCCUGCUGGCCUAUUGUUUUAAAUGAAGGGGUUCUUGAAGUGCCUUUGUAGAUUACUUUUGCAAUGAGGUGUGACACCCAACCUAAUGUAACAGAACCUGAUUUAAAAAGUAAAAAAAAUCUGCUUUAGACAGGAAAAUAAGUCUAAAGUGCUAGAUAAGUGAUCUUUUAUGAUAUAUGUGCUUUAUUCUACCCUAAACAUUGAAUCUGUCAGACCCAAUCUAAGACAAAUAUUAUCAAACAAUAUUCUCUUCCAUUUUAUCUUCAUUUUAUUAGCUCCUUACAGCACAGGCUAAGCAAAAUGUUCUUAAACUUCAGAAGACAAAUCUAUCUGUCUUUUUCUGUGCUUGCCAUAUAUGAUCUAUUCAUCUUAGGAAAUACCCUCAGCUAAGUUGGUGUGAAGCUGAAAGACUGUUCAUUCUUUAAGCAGUGUGAUGCUCCUGUAGGCAGCCACUCAGCUCAUCUGGGACAUUUCUCCUUAUUCCUGCAUUCUCACAGCCUGCUACUUAUGAUGCAGGCCUGCAUAAAUUCCCAUAACGAUCCAUUAGUAUCCUGCUUUCUUCAUGCCACAGUCAAGGUACAGUAGUUUCAUAAGAUGUGUUACCUGCUGAUUAUCACAAUACAGACUGACAAAACAGAUAUCUGCUGAUUGUCACGACACAAACAUCUACUGCUGUUAAAUAACACACCCUUUGGAGGAAUUUCAUUGCACUGCAAGAAGCUUUUAACUUCACAAAAGACUUAAACUGAAAUGUACACAUUACAGACCUUCUUCUCAGACUGCUCACAUUCUGAAUCUUAGAACUGCUCUUAGCACCAGUUUUUUAAUAGUGGAACUGUCUCCUGUAUCAAGAGAUCUCUAAUUUUAGUGCCCUGUUUUAUAAAGGUAAUAUCCCACCCCUGAAUUUACAUGUAUAUCACUGUCUGGUCUGUUGUCUAAGUUUUAAAAUUCUAGACUGGAGAAUCAGAGGAAGCCAGAAUAAGCCACUAAAUAUGUGAGUUCCAUAAAUAACUGAGUGAAAACCAAUUAAUUAAAUUAUUGAACUUAUUUAGUAAAUUGAAAGUAUCUAACAUGCCAAUAGCAAUACUUCUGUGCUAUUAGCCUCAGAGUAGCUCAACUUCAAAAAUAGUAACCCCUAGUUGACUAAUAUUAAUAUGGUGAAUUAAUAUGCUACCAAGAAAAUUUAAUAUUUUCAAGAAAGCCAAGCAUCUGCACGUAAACAAUGUCUGCCUUUUAGCAGAAUGUGAUUUAGUGUCUAAGAAAACAGAGAAACAGAGGGGGGAAAAGCCCUUGCUCUUUCUCCUUCAAAACAGACAGGAGUGUGUUUACUUUCACCAAAUAUCUGCAUGUGUGACACUGUCAUAAGCAUUCAGUUGCUGUAAAACUUUUUAUUCUUUCCCAUAAACAUCCUGCACACGCAUCUCCCAUGACUGUGCCCUCAGUCAAGGAGGAGGAAGUCCUAGAAGACUGUCAGUGUAUUCAGUCAUGAGCUCCCAGUGGGAAGCCAAGGCAAAGGACACAGUUCUUAUACAAUGGGCAAAGGUACCUACAUUCCACAGUGCCAAGCAACCAUCAAAUCCAGAAGUUCCUAGUCCUUACCCUUGCCCUACUUCAAGCAUCUGGGAAUCAUUGAAGUCAUGGAAAUAACUGAAAAUAUUACCUGACUGGUCACUGAUCACAUCUUGCUAACGUGUACAUUUGAUCUUAUCCUAAUUUUCUUGUCCCUUUUACCCCAUAUUGUGAGACAGGAUAUUAAAAUAAGUUCUUAUGCCUUUGACAAAGUGUAACAACAUUUGCCAGACAAAAUGUCAGAAUUUUCUCCUAGAUGUGUUAUUAUUAUUUCUCUAGAGCCAUAAAAAUUGGCAUACCACAAAUGUCAACACUGCCUUAAAGUCUGUCUUAGUGGGGGAAAGGGACUAUAGAAUAGUAUGGUUACUUCUGUAAGGGAAAAAACCCCAAAAAUUUCCUAAAAUAAUUGUUCAAUAAAAUAAAUGAUACAAAAAAGUCAUUACAGUGUAGGAUCUCUUCCUGCAAUCUAGGAAGUCCUUUUUGCUUAUGUUUUUAUCAUCUGUGAUUAAUAUACCCACAUCCAGGUUUUGCCAGUAAACUCUGAUCCUACAUUGCUGUGUUAUCUCUUGGUUUCUCCUUGUUUAUAUUAUACUGCAUUGCCUUACAAAAAGGAAACUAAAAGUGCCAUUUGGGAUGUAUGGCAGGAUUUUUAAUAUUUGUUUUGGCAGAUCUUAGUUCAAAUACAGAUUUGGUGAGAACAUCAAGAGUCAAACACUAUCAGUUUGUUGUAAGGCAUGUAUGCCUACAUCAGAAAAAUAAUCAGGCAAGAAUUAGGCAAGUGCUAAAUCAAAGAAUACUUUAAUACACUGUAUUUAAUUUUCAAUAACUACAACAGACAAAAACGUGGAGACAAGAUCUCAACAUCUACAGCUAAUUUGAAAAGACACAAGCAGAAAAGACUACAUCACUAAACCAAAUUCUGCCUGUUGUGCCAUGACUUUAACAGAUUUUCUUGUGAGUGUAGAAUUCAGACUGCUAUAUCUGUACCACCUGAAAAUACAGACCCACAGAGCAGUGGUGUAAGUUUACAAAGGAGGCAGACACAUUGAGGAAUUUACUACAAACAGAAAGAAAAAUUGUCUGUAGCAAUGAAAGCUCCAGUCACUAAGAAUAGAAACCCUUUCUUCAGCAGAACUGGUUUUGGCAUUGACCAGUCAUUUUUCAUUUUUCAGCAGCACAUCAGAACUUUCUACCAUGUUUAUCUCUUGCUCAAAUGAACUAAUAAACUCCUGAUACAACUCAUAAUACCCCUUAUCAAAUUGUCACGCAUGGCUGUGUUUGUUAACUUGCAACAAGGAAAUGUUUAUCUUUUUGCUACAGUCAAAGCAAGAAGCAGAAUUGAAAGUUGUUGUAAGGAGCAGCUGGCAAGUGGCCUGAAGUCUAGAAACUUUGCUUUACUCUUCUAUUUUUUUGUUCCCAUGCCUUUUCUCAGCCCAAAUUUUUCUGUAUUCCUGAUGCUAAAGAUUGGCAAUAAUUAUUUACAUCCUAAAAAAUAUUCCAAAAUCAGGUACAGCACCUUGAAUUUAUUAUUUGUUCUUUCCAACCUUUUAACACCUGAGUGUUAAAUGGAUACAUCAGGACUGGGAGAUGCAGAAUCAUCAUACAGAACAGAAACAAAGUCCCUGUCUCCCAAAUAUAUCUAAAACUCAGUGUUUCUGCUGUAAUACUGCAAUACGCUGGUCCUUUAGCAUAAAAUACUUAAUUAUCUUCAAGUGUUCUGUAGGCAGAAUAGGAAAAUAUAUUCUUCUGUUCUCCAUAAAAAGAUGAAAAUAUAUAAUAAUGUCAAUACUACCCAAUAUCAUGCUUCAUUAGAAAGGGUUUUUUGGGGGUUUUUUUUUGGUGCAAUGAGAUAAAACUUGCUAUUACAGGAAUUGUAAUAUACUCUGUGGAUUUGCUAUUCGAGGAUAUAUAUAAUAUAGAAUACUCUUUAUAUAAUAAAGAGUGUAUAUAUAUAUAUAUUAAAAAGUAUAUAUAAGUAUUAUAAAGAAUAAUAUAUAAUAAUAUACUCUUAUAAUAUAUAAAUACUCUGCUGGUAUUAACUCCUAGAGAAAUCAGUUAAAACUGUGUCAUUAAAGCAUGACUGUUUUGUUUGCCAACCAGAGUUGUAGGCAGUUUUUCAGUUCCAUUAUUAACAGUUAUAAAGGAAAUUCUCUUUGGGAGUUGGUUGAGAUGAAACUCAAGAUGUAGCAGUUCACCAUCUCUUGCUAUCUUGUGGGUGACAUCUGAGAAAAAAUCAGUGAAAUGCUAAAAUAGCAGCGACAGAAGUGCAGCGCGCUGUGCCUGCUGAGCAGCCGCAGCUGCAGCACAAAGGACAGAGGCGCAGGGCGGCCCCGCAGGGGGACCGGGGUGCCCCAGGCCCCGGGCCGGCUCUGCGGGGUCCUGUGACAGCCUGCUAAAGGUGGCCUUUGGGGGGACACUGCCGGCACACUGCGGUGUGACUGCCUGCUAAAGGUGGCCUUUGGGACACUGCCUGCACACUGUGGUGUGACUGCCUGGUUAAAGGUGGCCUUUGGGACACUGCAGGCAUGGCCGGGUCCUGCUUUACCUGAAAAUGCAGAGGCCAGAGCAGCCUAAUUGGUGUCAUUUUUCCACUCACACAGCCCCCUCCGGGAUGUUUGCAAGGCUCUUAUCAGGAAAUUGCAGCUGUGGCUCUGUACCUACCUCUGCUUUUGGGUGUGUUUUUUCACUUCUUGGAACUUUCUGUUUAUUGACUAGAUAAUCUGGAAAGGAGGAGGUAGGAAUGGAGCUGGUACAGAAAGAUACAGUGUUUAAGACCAGAGCCGAUAUUCCAGACCAAAACACAUUCUGGAAUUGGGUGACAGCUGUAUUGCUCCUUCUGACAGGUGAAGUGCUGGCACAUGCCACCUGACCUCACCUGGGCUCCAGGCAGGGCAUUUGGCACCUCCCUGUCACUGGCCAGAGGGCAAAUCAGGGCCUAGACCUUGAAUCCAGGACCUCCUGCUGAAACAUUCACCUCCCGAUGCUCAGACUGGAAGCAGAACUCUGGAUAUGUUUUCAUUUCAAAACUGUAAGACUGCAGGCUCCAGGGAACCUGCCACCCAGCAGGAAUAAACUGUGCCUGGGAGAUCCCUGGCCAUCUCUCCCUUCAUGGGAGGAGCCACAGGGCAGGACUGCAUUCCCAAUGGACUGUGACUUCCUCAGAAGCCUCAGCAAGAGGUAUGGCCACACAAAGACCUUCUGAGUUGAGUGAGCAUAGAAUACCUGACAACCCACAAUGUCUUCUUCAGAACAAAGUGACCACCAAAAGCGGGACUUUGUGGGCCAGUUGGAUAAAACAUAAGCUCAUCUCGCCCCCAAAACCCCGACUCUGGAACCACAGCCUUCCAAGAUUCAAUUUGUAAGUAAAGUAUCUUUGUCAGAUAUGCCAAAUCAACAGAGUCAUUGCUUAUGGAGUGGGUAAUUUUCAGACUAAUCAAAAGAGAACGUUAUAGCCCAGUCACAAUACAUCCUCCUUCAUUUUCUGGACAGCAGGAAUUGCUAACAGAUAUUAAUUGAUUUUAUUAAUAUUUUAUGAACUAUUUAUCAAGGAGGUAAGAAGCACCUUUUCUAAGUGUCUAUAAAAUGACACAGAAUAAGUUAUUAGACCCAGCACUCAAAAUACCUAAGAUUUCUUCUCAAAGUAUAUAACAAGUUAUUAUUUAUCUGUUUCACUGUAUUUCAGACUAAAGUUGACACAUUAUAGAGAAAUAUCUGUCAUUUUUCUAAAUUUGUUAUUUGUACAAUAAACUACAAAUUAUUUUCACUUUACUUGAAAACAGGUCUCUUCCUACUAACAAUUACAGUCUCAAGUAUUCAGCUCUACAUCAGCAUCUUACUACCCUCAAUAUCAUGUUUCAUAAAAUCCUUCAAAGAUGAGAGGAAAAGUAGAAAUUCACAGACUAAAGGAACAUAUAUUCAAAAUCUUCACUUUAUAAUUCCAACAGAGCUUCUAUGUAAAAUCCAUUUUAAAAAACAUUUUAGUUUACACUUGGAUGGCUGAAGUAGGUUAAUGCUGUCAGUUACUUUAAAAGAUAGUAAUUGCUGUCCUUGAAAAGCCACUAUUACAUUCAUUCUACUUUUGAUAAUCAAAAUGCGCAGCUGAAGAAUGCUGUCCUAGCUGAACUGCCUUAUAAUCCCCAAAUACAUCCUGAAAGGAAAACGCAGAGAAGUUGAUGGAAAUUCUGGCUAAGUAGAAAUGUUUAAAUAAUUCCUCUUUCUACAGACCGUACAUUUUAACUGACUUAUUUACGUGUGAUUUAUUAAUCACACAUUACGCUGUGAUGAUUUAGGAGGUUUUUCUGGCUUGCACACGACCUGAUCAGACGGUUCGCACGCGCAUUUGUAGUUAUUUGUGCCUGACGAAAGUCGCCGCAGAAGCCACGCGGAGGCAGCGGGACGGGGCCGGUGGCCGGACACCGCGGGGAGCGGGCCCCGUGGGGAGCGGGCCCCGCGGGGAGCGGGCACCUGUAGCUCCCGAGGGUGC